UACUCCUACGGGAGGCAGCAGUGGGGAAUAUUGGACAAUGGGGGAAACCCUGAUCCAGCGACGCCGCGUGAGUGAAGAAGUAUUUCGGUAUGUAAAGCUCUAUCAGCAAGGAAGAAAAUGACGGUACUUGACUAAGAAGCCCCGGCUAACUACGUGCCAGCAGCCGCGGUAAU
rnacentral:rRNA from 1 species